UGUCGGUUGACAUUCGUCGAGAGAACAUCUUUAAGUGUUAAUUUAGGAAACACGAAUUUUAUAAUAAUGUUGAGGGUACAGUGCCUAUAAAUAGCAACGCCUUUGCUCGAAACGGUCAUUCGAUCGGCGGCGUUCGUGAGAGAAGGUAGUCGUGGACAUGGUGUGCUGGAGGUCAGGUUAGGCCGAGUGCUCAUAGGGUUCAGGCACUAGUUGAGUCACCAGUGACUCGUAAUGUCGCACAGCUCAUUCUGAACUUCACAAAACGCAAGACAACAGACAUCCGCCCUGCAGCUUCUGGUAGAAAAGACGCCACCACACCUGUGGUGAGGAUUCUAAUUAGUGAUGUCACGACUGAGGUGUUUCGGAGCCGUUAAGUUCGUCGAGAACUAGGUCGAGGUAGAGCUCAUCAAUUGGUACCACGGAGUGAAAAGCGACAUGAUGCUCCCGUGGACGGGCACCGACGAGCAGCAGCCGUUUUUAAUGUCUAUAAUCUUGUUUGGGUAAUAACUCACAGUCUACAGGAAAUGUAGAUCCAGCAAUCCGUGGACCUUACCGAAUGGUGAGGAUGGUGCCUCACGGGCAUUGCCGCAAGUGCCGGUAGCUGCGUAAUAUCGGUCGGCAGGUAAACUUGAUUCUGGCAUGCGUGGCCCGUAUAAGGUUGUCGAAAUUCUACCCAGUGGACGCUGUACCCUACGGCUGCUCAGCGGCAGUUAUGGCAAAACUACGCAAGCAGCUGCACAAUAUAUGGUGUCGUGGCGGGGCGAGUGGACCCCUGAGACAUGUGCUGCCUUC